CUGGAGAGGGUGUAGGAGACAGUGAGGCUGGAGAGGGUGUAGGAGACAGUGAGGCUGGAGAGGGUAUAGGAGACAGUGAGGAUGGAGAGGGUGGGGGAGACAGUGAGGCUGGAGAGGGUAUAGGAGAUAGUGAGGAUGGAGAGGGUAUAGGAGACAGUGAGGAUGGAGAGGGUGGGGGAGACAGUGAGGCUGGAGAGGGUGUAGGAGACAGUGAGCCUAGAGAGGGUGUAGUAGACAGUGGGCUGGAGAGGGUGUAGGAGACAGUCAGGAUGGACAGGGUGUAGGAGACAGUGAGACUGGAGAGGGUGUAGGAGAGAGUGAGACUGGAGAGGGUGUAGGAGACAGUGAGGAUGGAGAGGGUGUAGGUGGCAGUGAGGCUGGAGAGGGUGUAGGAGACAGCGAGUCUGGAGAGGGAGUAGGAGACAGUGAGGAUGGAGAGGGUGUAGGAGACAGUGAGGCUGGAGAGGGUGUAGGAGACAGUGAGGAUGGAGAGGGUAUAGGAGACAGUGAGGAUGGAGAGGGUGGGGGAGACAGUGAGGCUGGAGAGGGUGGAGGAGACAGUCAGGAUGGACAGGGUGUAGGAGACAGUGAGACUGGAGAGGGUGUAGGAGACAGUUAGACUGGAGAGGGUGUAGUAGACAGUGGGCUGGAGAGGGUGUAGGAGACAGACAGGAUGGACAGGGUGUAGGAGACAGUGAGACUGGAGAGGGUGUAGGAGACAGACUGGAGUGGGUGUAGGAGACAGUGAGGUUGGAGAGGAUGUAGGAGUCCGUGAGGAUGGAGAGGGUGUAGGAGACGGUGAGACUGGAGAGGGUGUAGGAGACAGUUAGACUGGAGUGGGUGUAGGAGACAGUGAGACUGGAGAGGGUGUAGGAGACAGUGAGACUGGAGAGGGUGUAGGAGACAGUGAGUCUGGAGAGGGUGUCGGAGACAGUGAGUCUGGAGAGGGUGUAGGAGACAGUGAGGAUGGAGAGGGUGUAGGAGACAGUGGGCUGGAGAGGGUGUAGGAGACAGUGAGGAUGGAGAGGGUGUAUGAGACAGUGGGGAUGGAGAGGGUGUAGGAGACAGUGAGGCUGGAGAGGGUGUAGGAGACAGUAAGGCUGGAGAGGGUGUAGGAGACAGUGAGGAUGGAGAGGGUGAAGGAGACAGUGAGGAUGGAGAGGGUGUUGUAGACUGUGAGGAUGGAGAGGGUGUAGGAGUCCGUGAGGAUGGAGAGGGUGUAGGAGACGGUGAGGAUGGAGAGGGUGUAGGAGACGGUGAGACUGGAGAGGGUGUAGGAGACAGUGAGACUGGAGAGGGUGUAGGAGACAGUGAGACUGGAAAGGGUGUAGGAGACAGUGAGGAUGGAGAGGGUCUAGGAGACAGUGGGCUGGAGAGGGUGUAGGAGACAGUGAGGAUGGAGAGGGUGUAGGAGACAGUAAGGCUGGAGAGGGUGUAGGAGACAGUGAGUCUGGAGAGGGUGUAGGAGACAGUAAGGAUGGAGAGGGUGUAGGAGACAGUGAGGAUGGACAGGGUGUAGGAGACAGUGAGACUGGAGAGGGUGUAGGAGACAGUGAGACUGGAGAGGGUGUAGGAGACAGUAAGGAUGGAGAGUGUGUAGGAGACAGUGAGGAUGGACAGGGUGUAGGAGACAGUGAGACUGGAGAGGGUGUAGGAGACAGUGAGACUGGAGUGAUUGUAGGAGACAGUGAGACUGGAGAGGGUGUAGGAGACAGUGAGUCUGGAGAGGGUGUCGGAGACAGUGAGUCUGGAGAGGGUGUAGGAGACAGUGAGGAUGGAGAGGGUGUAGGAGACAGUGGGCUGGAGAGGGUGUAGGAGACAGUGAGGAUGGAGAGGGUGUAGGAGACAGUGGGGAUGGAGAGGGUGUAGGAGACAGUGAGGCUGGAGAGGGUGUAGGAGACAGUAAGGCUGGAGAGGGUGUAGGAGACAGUGAGGAUGGAGAGGGUGAAGGAGACAGUGAGGAUGGAGAGGGUGUUGUAGACUGUGAGGAUGGAGAGGGUGUAGGAGUCCGUGAGGAUGGAGAGGGUGUAGGAGACGGUGAGGAUGGAGAGGGUGUAGGAGACGGUGAGACUGGAGAGGGUGUAGGAGACAGUGAGACUGGAGAGGGUGUAGGAGACAGUGAGACUGGAGAGGGUGUAGGAGACAGUGAGGCAGGAGAGGGUGUAGGAGACAGUGAGGAUGGAGAGGGUCUAGGAGACAGUGGGCUGGAGAGGGUGUAGGAGACAGUGAGGAUGGAGAGGGUGUAGGAGACAGUGAGGCUGGAGAGGGUGUAGGAGACAGUGAGUCUGGAGAGGGUGUAGGAGACAGUGAGGAUGGAGGGGGGUAUAGGAGACAGUGAGGAUGGAGAGGGUGGGGGAGACAGUGAGGCUGGAGAGGGUGGAGGAGACAGUCAGGAUGGACAGGGUGUAGGAGACAGUGAGACUGGAGAGGGUGUAGGAGACAGUGAGGAUGGAGAGGGUGUAGGAGACAGUGAGGCUGGAGAGGGUGUAGGAGACAGUGAGGAUGGAGAGGGUGUAGGAGACAGUGGGGAUGGAGAGGGUGUAGGAGACAGUGAGGAUGGAGAGGGUGA
ensembl:lncRNA